rnacentral:piRNA from 1 species
UGGAUCUUCCAUAUUUAACUUUGCAUAGCCA